rnacentral:piRNA from 1 species
CCACCGUCAGCACCCAAAGCUGA